CCUACGGGAGGCAGCAGUGGGGAAUAUUGGUCAAUGGACGCGAGCCUGAACCAGCCAAGUAGCGUGAAGGAUGACUGCCCUCCGGGUUGUAAACUUCUUUUAUAAAGGAGUAAAGUGGGGCACGUGUGCCUUUUUUUAUUUACUUUAUGAAUAUGGAUCGGCUCACUCCGUUCCAGCAGCCGCGGUAAGACGGAGGAUCCGAGCGGUGGCCGGAUUUAUUGGGUUUAAAGGGAGCGUAGAUGGGUUGUUAAGGAAGUUGUGAAAGUUGGGGGGUCAACCGGAAAAUUGCAAUUGAUAAUGGCAGUCUUGAGGACAGGUGAGGUAGGCGGAAUCCGUGGUGUAGCGGUGAAA
rnacentral:rRNA from 1 species